AUCAACUGUCGAUGGUAGGUUCUGCGCCUACCAUGGUUGUAACGGGUAACGGGGAAUCAGGGUUCGAUUCCGGAGAGGGAGCCUGAGAAACGGCUACCACAUCCAAGGAAGGCAGCAGGCGCGCAAAUUACCCACUCCCGGCACGGGGAGGUAGUGACGAAAAAUAACGAUACGGGACUCAUCCGAGGCCCCGUAAUCGGAAUGAGAACACUUUAAAUCCUAUAACAAUAAACAAUUAGAGGGCAAGUCUGGUGCCAGCCGCCGCGGUAACUCCAGCUCUAAUAGCGUAUAUUAAAGUUGUUGCGGUUAAAAAGCUCGUAGUUGAAUCUGUGUACUGCGCUGUCGGUUCACCGCCCGCGGUGUUAACUGGCACGUCCGCAGUACGUCCUGCCGGUGGAUGUUUGUGCUUUGUUCACUUCCCCAUUAUGCGUGUGCAACUUCGGUUGUUACUGUAUAGUGUGGUGGGGUAUCAAAUGUGGCAACAUCCGACUCAAUAAUCCUGUCGCGGUGCUCUUAACUGAGUGUCGAGGCGGGCCGGCACGUUUACUUUGAACAAAUUAGAGUGCUCAAAGCAGGCUAAAAUUUCGCCUGAAUACUGUGUGCAUGGAAUAAUGGAACAGGACCUCGGUUCUAUUUUGUUGGUUUUCGGAACUCCGAGGUAAUGAUUAAUA
rnacentral:rRNA from 1 species